rnacentral:rRNA from 1 species
GACGGACGCUGGCGGCGUGCUUAACACAUGCAAGUCGAACGGAAAGGCCCUGAUUUUGUGCGGUGCUCGAGUGGCGAACGGGUGAGUAACACGUGAGUAACCUGCCCUAGACUUUGGGAUAACUUCAGGAAACUGGGGCUACUACCGGAUAGGAGACCCUCUUGCAUGGUGGGGGUUGGAAAGUUUGGUCGGUUGGGGGUGGACUCGCGGCUUACCAGCUUGUUGGUGGGGUGGUGUGUUACCAAGGCAUUGACGGGUAGCCGGCCUGAGAGGGUGACCGGCCACAUUGGCACUGAGGUACGGCCCAGACUCCGACGGGAGGCAGCAGUGGGGAAUAUUGCACAAUGCGCGGAAGGCUGAUGCAGCAACGCCGCGUGCUGGAUAGCGGCCUUCGUGUUGUAAACCGCUUUCGCCUGUAACGAAGCGUGAGUGACGGUAAUGGAUAAAAAAGCACCGGCUAACUACGUG